rnacentral:rRNA from 1 species
CGCGUAGGACGGUUUUGUAAGUCAGAUGUGAAAUCCCUGGGCUCAACCUGGGAACUGCAUUUGAUACUGCAUGGCUAGAGUAUGGAAGAGGGAAGUGGAAUUUCCGGUGUAGCGGUGAAAUGCGUAGAUAUCGGAAGGAACACCAGUGGCGAAAGCGACUUCCUGGUCCAAUACUGACGUUCAUGUGCGAAAGCGUGGGGAGCAAACAGGAUUAGAUACCCUGGUAGUCCACGCCAUAAACGAUGACAACUAGAUGUUGGGAGGGUCUGCCUCUCGGUGUCGCAGCUAACGCGUUAAGUUGUCCGCCUGGGGAGUACGGCCGCAAGGUUGAA